rnacentral:rRNA from 1 species
CUACGUGCCAGCAGCCGCGGUAAUACGGAAGGUCCAGGCGUUAUCCGGAUUUAUUGGGUUUAAAGGGAGUGUAGGCGGUUUGUUAAGCGUGUUGUGAAAUUUAGAUGCUCAACAUUUAACUUGCAGCGCGAACUGGCGAACUUGAGUGCACGCAACGUAUGCGGAAUUCAUGGUGUAGCGGUGAAAUGCUUAGAUAUCAUGAAGAACUCCGAUUGCGAAGGCAGCAUACGGGAGUGUAACUGACGCUUAAGCUCGAAGGUGCGGGUAUCGAACAGGAUUAGAUACCCUGGUAGUCCGCACAGUAAACGAUGUAUACUCGCGGUUUGCGAUAUAAUGUAAGCCGCCAAGCGAAAGCAUUAAGUAUACCACCUGGGGAGUACGCCGGCAACGGUGAAACUCAAAGGAAUUGACGGGGGCCCGCACAAGCGGAGGAACAUGUGGUUUAAUUCGAUGAUACGCGAGGAACCUUACCCGGGCUUGAAC